GACGAACGCUGGCGGCGUGCUUAACACAUGCAAGUCGAACGGAAAGGCCCUGCUUUUGUGGGGGGCUCGAGUGGCGAACGGGUGAGUAACACGUGAGUAACCUGCCCUUGACUUUGGGAUAACGUCAGGAAACUGGGGCUAAUACCGGAUAGGAGCUCCUGCUGCAUGGUGGGGGUUGGAAAGUUUCGGCGGUUGGGGAUGGACUCGCGGCUUAUCAGUUUGUUGGUGGGGUAGUGGCUUACCAAGGCUUUGACGGGUAGCCGGCCUGAGAGGGUGACCGGCCACAUUGGGACUGAGAUACGGCCCAGACUCCUACGGGAGGCAGCAGUGGGGAAUAUUGCACAAUGGGCGGAAGCCUGAUGCAGCAACGCCGCGUGCGGGAUGACGGCCUUCGGGUUGUAAACCGCGUUCGCCUGUGACGAAGCGUGAGUGACGGUAAUGGGUAAAGAAGCACCGGCUAACUACGUG
rnacentral:rRNA from 1 species